rnacentral:rRNA from 1 species
GUCCUAGCCCUAAACGGUGCACGUUUGCUGUAAGAGGAUUCGACCCCUUUGUGGCGAAGCUAACGCGUUAAACGUGCCGCCUGGGGAGUACGGCCGCAAGGUUAAACUCAAAGAAAUUGACGGGGCCUGCACAAGCGGUGGAGUAUGUGGCUUAAUUCGAUGCAACGCGAAGAACCUUACCUGGCCUUGACAUGCAAGUAGUAGAACCCUGAAAGGGGGACGAGGUAGCAAUACCAGCUUGCACAGGUGCUGCAUGGCUGUCGU